rnacentral:rRNA from 1 species
GAUGAACGCUGGCGGCGUGCCUAAUACAUGCAAGUCGAGCGAACGGACGAGAAGCUUGCUUCUCUGAUGUUAGCGGCGGACGGGUGAGUAACACGUGGAUAACCUACCUAUAAGACUGGGAUAACUUCGGGAAACCGGAGCUAAUACCGGAUAAUAUUUUGAACCGCAUGGUUCAAAAGUGAAAGACGGUCUUGCUGUCACUUAUAGAUGGAUCCGCGCUGCAUUAGCUAGUUGGUAAGGUAACGGCUUACCAAGGCAACGAUGCAUAGCCGACCUGAGAGGGGGAUCGGCCACACUGGAACUGAGACACGGGCCAGACUCCUACGGGAGGCAGCAGUAGGGAAUCUUCCGCACUGGGCGAGAGCCUGACGGAGCAACGCCGCGUGAGUGAUGAAGGUCUUCGGGUCGUAAAACUCUGUUAUUAGGGAAGAACAUAUGUGUAAGUGAAUGUGCACAUCUUGACGGUACCUAAUCAGAAAGCCACGCCUAACUACGUG